rnacentral:rRNA from 1 species
UGGGGAAUAUUGGGCAAUGGGGGAAACCCUGACCCAGCAACGCCGCGUGAAGGAAGAAGGCCUUCGGGUUGUAAACUUCUUUUAGCAGGGACGAAGAACGUGACGGUACCUGCAGAAAAAGCAACGGCUAACUACGUGCCAGCAGCCGCGGUAAUACGUAGGUUGCAAGCGUUGUCCGGAAUUACUGGGUGUAAAGGGCGUGUAGGCGGAGCUGCAAGUCAGAUGUGAAAUCCCGGGGCUCAACCCCGGAACUGCAUUUGAAACUGUAGCCCUUGAGUAUCGGAGAGGCAAGCGGAAUUCCUAGUGUAGCGGUGAAAUGCGUAGAUAUUAGGAGGAACACCAGUGGCGAAGGCGGCUUGCUGGACGACAACUGACGCUGAGGCGCGAAAGCGUGGGGAGCAAACA